rnacentral:rRNA from 1 species
AUACGGAGGAUGCGAGCGUUAUCCGGAUUUAUUGGGUUUAAAGGGAGCGUAGGUGGGAUAUUAAGUUAGCUGUGAAAGUUUGGGGCUCAACCUUAAAAUUGCAGUUGAUACUGGUUUCCUUGAGUACGGUACAGGUGGGCGGAAUUCGUGGUGUAGCGGUGAAAUGCUUAGAUAUCACGAAGAACUCCGAUCGCGAAGGCAGCUCACCGGGCCGGAACUGACACUGAUGCUCGAAAGUGCGGGUAUCAAACAGGAUUAGAUACCCUGGUAGUCCACACAGUAAACGAUGAAUACUCGCUGUUUGCGAUAUACAGUAAGCGGCCAAGCGAAAGCAUUAAGUAUUCCACCUGGGGAGUACGCCGGCAACGGUGAAACUCAAAUGAAUUGACGGGG